rnacentral:ribozyme from 1 species
AACUGGCUGGUGUCCUUGUCGUUUCUGAUCGGCAAAAUUUCAGACAGGUCCUGGUCCGAGCCUGCUGGUAGUACCUGUUCGCUUCAAAAAGACGUGAAUGUGAAUCUCAGUACGUGCUUCAACUUCGAUACAACUCGUAAAUAUUUCUUCUGCAACCGCAACGCUACAGACGAAGACGUACAUUAAUUAUCAAAUUAGUUGGCAGCAGCAGGAGCAGCUGCA